UACGUAGGGAGCAAGCGUUGUCCGGAAUCAUUGGGCGUAAAGCGCGUGUAGGCGGCUCGAUAAGUCCGUUCUGAAAGUCCAGGGCUCAACCCUGGGAUGCGGAUGGAUACUGUCGAGCUCGAGUCCGGAAGAGGCGAGUGGAAUUCCUGGUGUAGCGGUGAAAUGCGCAGAUAUCAGGAGGAACACCAAUGGCGAAGGCAGCUCGCUGGGACGUGACUGACGCUGAGACGCGAAAGCGUGGGGAGCAAACAGG
rnacentral:rRNA from 1 species